CGUUCCCGGACCAUGUACACACCGCCCGUCAAGCCAUGGAAGCCGGGGGACCUGAAGGCAGUUGCUGCAAGGCGCUGUUUAGGGUUAAACUGGUGACUGGGGGCU
rnacentral:rRNA from 1 species